rnacentral:sRNA from 1 species
UCGAAAGACAUUCAUUCAAGAAAUUCUAACGUGAUUAUCGUAAAUAGCUGGAAUUGUAGAUAUUUACAAUGACAUAGAUCAUUUUUCUUCGACGAAAUUACGGCCUAAUGUCGAGACAAGAAUAAUAUGACGCUGAUCUGUGUUUUGACAAGAAUAUGAAUGAUCUUAAGAAAAGGCUUCACUGAAUCAAUUGAAAGACAGCGUCUUCAAUUGUCCUACUAAAUUCUUUACAGAUGACAUCUGGGUCUGGGGAGAUCAUGCAAAAAAAUAAGACAUCAUUUAUAACUUUCAACCUUCCGCUCACAGGACAAAUUCUCGAAGACGCUACGGAAAGAUGCUGAGCUUGAUCAUAAUUCUUCAGGCUCCCAAUUCAAGAAUACAAUUACUUAGCGUGGGUGCUUCUGCUCAGUCUUCGUUUCCUAUCUCCACAUACCAAUCACUCGUUUGUUACUAAUUCGAAUAAUUUACUGCUGUAAGGAGUCGUACCGCCAACUAAAUCUGAAUAACAAUUUGGCUGCUAGAAGUCAAAAAGUAGGCGCUGCAAUGAUUAUGUGGUAUGAUCAGAUUGUGUCGCAACAUUCAACGGGGUUUUGACUCAAUGGGACCGCUGCUAAUAAAGUGUUUAACUAGCGAAUUUUGGAACACACCCGUUGACAAAAGUAUAAGGAUUCCCUUUCCGUGAGUUCCCCUCUUCCUCUCACUGCACCUCAACUAUGUCUUAUAGCAACCAAGAAGCUAGAAAAUGCCAACUAUUAAAAGGAUAACCUCUUUAGAAUCAAAUAAAACGGAGAUUAUCUUGGGAUCUAUUUCACAAAUUUACGGCUAAUUGGAAUGAACAGCGCCAAGUAGCACUGGACAAACUGCAGAAAGUAUUAGUACUUGCUUUAUUCCGUGUAUCGUACUUUAGGUCGUCAGUUUUACACUUCGGUACGCAAAUGAAAAUAAAAAGCUCAUUCACAACUUAGACACAAUUUCGCCAUUUACAAGUAGCUGAAGAGUCCAUCUAUCGAAUUAUGAAUGAUGCUAUUUUAAAUAUCGUCGUUGCUGCACUCGUUUUCCAUGUUCUUUUUAUCCACACAUCCGAUGUUUUAUUUACAGUUGAGCAUCUCAGGGCCAGCGACAAAUAUAAACAUAUUAUACUCAAAAUGAAGCUCGUUGAAAAGAGAAUAUUUCUUAACCUCUUUUACAGUGUUUUCAACACCUUUUCAUCUGUGUGCCAUGUCAGAUUAAGGAUGCUCAACUUUUCGAAUUAUUAUUACAAAUUUCAAAGAAAUUACUAGUCCUUUUUGUCUCCUAAUGUAUCCCUCAUUUCAUACCGUCGUUUUGGGGUUCCAACUACGUAUAGCUUUCAAGUGUGGUUUUACGGUAAGAACAACCCCCCAUCGGUUAGUGCGGAAUACUUUCCUAUUCUCAUCGAGAGCCGAGCCAUACACCUAAGGUGGACAGAAAGCUAAAAUUCCAAAACAGAAAAAUCUAACAUCUUUGCUCCCUUACAAGUAGGAACGCUAGCGUAUCAACCCAUCUCCAGAUUUGCCCAGCAUUUCUGUAGAACACCCAAUGCGAAUGAAGACUAAUGAAUAUUUUAAAGACAAAAAAUAGGAAAAGUUUAAUUAUUGAUGGUUCUCACCACCGCAAAACGGUCACUUGCAUGCAUUGAGGACAUGCAUCUGCAGUACUUGUUUUUCUCGAAUGUUUUUUACCAUCUCUUUUUUCCUUAUCUGAGCUGCUGACGCAGACGGACAUUGUUUCAUAUUUCGAAAGCUGUGCGGGAAAACGGACCCUAACACGAAUGUGAAUGCGCUAAUCGGUAUUUCCACCACAUGAAACCUGCUACUUUUUCAGUCCUCUUCGUAUGCAUUUCCCAAAAUUCAUUCGUAGCCUUGUCAACUUAGACUCAGUUCCACGGCGUGCAGGACGGGGUAUUAUGAAUAAAGGAUCCACGGGUAAGAUUUGUUCUAUGUUUUAGGUAUGGAGUUUUGUACCACAAAACUUUAGGAAUACCGGAUUGUGUGCCUACGCCAGCCCCAGAGUAUGUUCUCACAGCUGUAAUUCCUAGUGAUCUUUUCCUGGCUCCAAUAGGAACGCCGGUAGGCAAAUUAAACUUUCGUGGCAGGAAAAAAAAGGCUUUUUCUUUUUUGCCUUUCAGUUUCUCGGAAUGUGGCAUUACAUAAGCAUAAUCCUUUUUGGGUGUGCCUGGAAAGUU